rnacentral:rRNA from 1 species
AUUCUGGUGUCCCAGGCAUAGAGGAACCACACCAACCCAUCCCGAACUUGGUGGUUAAACUCUACUGCGGUGACGAUACUGUAGGGGAAGCCCUGCGGGAAAAUAGCUCGGUGCCAGGAUGAUAAAAAGCUAAAUGCCUC